rnacentral:tRNA from 1 species
GGCGAGAUGGCUCAGUGGUUAAGAGCGCCGACUGCUCUUCUGAAGGUCCUGAGUUCAAAUCCCUGUUGUGGUG